UCAACGGAAAAUGGCCGUGAAAACUGCACGGCGCGGCGUUGCACUGAAGAAAAUUAUUGAAAAUCCAAAAGUGAAUAUUUGUAGACUGCAAAAUGAAGAUAUUGUAAUACAUUAGUUUUAUGCAGUCUACGUGGGGAGGUGAAGAAGACUGGCGGUAAUCCAGUAAGCAGAAAAUGGAGGCUCGCCGGCGAGCAGAACCUGGUACUGAGCUGACGCCUGGGACAGUCAUAGAUGCAGAAGUUCUACGGCUGAUCUCCAAGUGAAAAGAUUACGGCGGCGCGAAUCAACAACCAGUGUGGCGGGCAUGAGCGGCGUUAGGGGCCAGUCGAGUUGCAUUCCCGAUGUUCCUGAGCUACAUGACAUUGUCAUCUACCACCAAAAUUUCGCUGUUUAAUCUGCUGACAUUGAAGAUGAAGACUAGAACGUUGAGUUACCAAGAAAGUUAAAUGAUCCCGGGCUGCAUUUCCACUGUCUGACAACCACAGGGCUACUUCCAGCGACAAGAGAUAAUAAAUGCAAUGCUCCAGGCGGGAGGGAACAAAAGUAAGGGUCCACGGGUCUCUUGUUCUGCAGCGGAGGCCACGCUGAGUUUGGUAACAUCCAUCGGAGUGCUUUUAUAAGCGCGAGGCCCUAGGUGGUUGUCCAAGGCCAAAACUGCCCAGCGAGUCAAAGUAACACACCAAGAAGACUAUACCACAAAAAUAACCAUAGUUUCGUGGUAUUUUUGCGAUAUUUAUUACUAUAUGAAUUGAAUAACUCGUUUACCUAGAUAGAUACCUACUGUAUUAAGACACGAAUUGUUGAUUUAAAUAAUGGAAGAGACUGAAACACUGUUUGCUUUUAUAAUUUCAAAGUAAAUAAAUUUGUUUAAUUAAUAUUGAAGUAAUUUAUUUUAAUAAAUAUAAAUUUUGAAAAAGCCUGUUGUAAU